AUUCUAAAAAUCAAAUUUAUUUAGUCGUAAAGUAUAACAAACUGCAUCUAUUUAAAGUAUACAAUUGAAUGAGUUUUGAUAGGUGACUCCAUGUUGAAAACCAUUUCCACAAUCAGUAUACAGAACAUUUGCAUCAUUCCCAGAAGAGUCCCUUUUAUAGUGCAUUCCUGCCCUGGCCCCAGCCCCAGCCCCAGGUAACUACUGAUCUGCUUUUUUGUCACUGUAGAUUUGUUUUCAUUUUCUAGAAUUUUAUAAAAAUGGGUAUAUCUCUGUUAAUGAAAACUGGGGAAGGUGCUCUGGCAUGUGCUGGGCUUCUCCACCUGGGCUCCUUUGUGAAGGCUUGAGGGAGCAGGUAUGACUGGGGCCACCAGGACAUUGUAGGCUGUUGGAAUUCUUGAGAGGAGUUUAGGUCUGGAUGGUACUGGCACCAUAAGAUAGGAAGAACUAGGAAAUCAAAGUAAAUCUGGGAAGACAGGAGGAUAUCUAGUAAUGAUAACUGACUCAUAUCUGUCUACAUAGUUUCUGAAACAGGCAAAGAUGUAAUUAGGCAAUCAAUCAUAUGAUGUUAAUAUAAUAAUCAGGGAGCUUGGGAAGGUGGUGGAGUAAGAGGACCCUGGACUGCCAUGUUUUCAACUAGAUAUUAUCCACAUCCAAGUCAAUAAACCUAGAGUGAUCUUAAGGGUGGUGGAACAAACUCCAUAACUAAACAUAGAGAAUAAGCUACAUCUGAAAGGUUAGGAUGGUCAGAAAGGUGAAGGAAGGCUGCCUGGCAGGAGGGAUGGAGCUGCACACACAAAGAGGGCAGAGAAAUGGGCACUUGUACCUGGGAGUUCACAAGGGGAAGACUGAUCCCCAUAGCAUUUGGCUUUAAAAACCAGGGGAGCUGAAUUGUGUGUUUGUAAAACUAGUGGGACUUGUAAUGAGCUUUUGAAGCAAGCUAAUUAAACACUGGACAAGCUGGGAGGCCAAGUGAUAGCUGAGUGCUAUCCUUAGAAAGACAGCAGCCUGUGCAGAGAGGAAUGUAAAAGCAGUUUACACAACACCAGGGGCAAACAGGAGACAUCAGUUCAUAUUGACUUCGGAGUGUUUGGGAGACUGAAAACAAAGGACCUGGAAAGGGCCAUUUUCCUCCACUACCCCCAGUAUAAGCACGGGGACACCUAGGGGAGGUAGGAUCGCAUAGACACUUAGACUACCUAACCUAGUAUGCUAUGCCCAAGUUCUGAGGAUUUGCCCACUCCAAGCCUGCUAGCCUUGGUCACAGAAUCAGGGCAAAUUUUGUUAAACUGUAUGGGUACCCAGCCACCAGGUGCACGGCUGCCACCUUGUGGCAUGCAUAUCUGCCAUGCCUGACCAGCUGUCUGCCUCCAGCCAUCCUCGUGUGUCUCACCUAGUGACACACCCCCAGCCACAAUUGCAUGCUGUGCCGGCAUGACUGGCUGUGCACUCCCUGGCCUAGUGCCACUAGGCACCAUCGUAUACCACACCUACGUGCAUCUCUGCAAUUAUGUUCCCUAGUUGCAAUUACGGCUGCAAUUAUGCAAUUAUGUUGCAUAUUAUGUUCCCUAGUUGCAGUCACACACCUUGCGCAGUCACACACCUUCUGCCCAGCCCAACUACUGCAUCAAGGCCAACCACCACACCACACCCAGCUGUACAUUCCCAUCCACAGCAGUGCCUCAGGGGAUCCUGCAAAGGACUAGUAGCCCAUUGCAAGUUUUGCUAACAUUAUCAUCCUUCUCCCAAGUUCCCAAGUGGGAACUUGGGAGAAGCCAAGUGGGACCCUGCCUCCCACCAGAGCUGGCCUGCUUGGGUUCCACUAACCCUGCAGAGCAAGCACAGCCCACAACAGGGUCAGUUCAGAUGAAUGAAAAGGAAAAGUGACUUAGAUACAACAGCAGGGUGUAAGCAAUGCACAAGGAUACUCUCCUGAGGUGCCAGGUUCUGGUGAACAGGGGACACUGCCUUCCAGGACACUCCAGGAACUCUUUUUCAUAAAGUCACUACUUUGAAGAACAGAAGACACAGUUGACCUUCUUAACACAGAAAAAGAGAUACAGAGAGGCAGGCAAAAUGAAAGAAAAAUUUGUCCCAAAUGAAAGGACAAGGUCACAACCAGAAAUCUAGGCAAAAGUAACAUGCCUAAUGAUAAAGAAUUUAAAGCAAUAAUCAUAAGUAAAUUCCCUGGACUUGAGAAAAGAGUUUAAGACAUGAGUGAGGCUAUUAAGACAGGAAUAACAACAUAGUCGAGAUGAAGAGCACAAUAAAUCAAAUGAGAAACACUUGAUGGAAUGAACAGCAGGAUGGAGAAGAAGAGGAACAAAUUAGUGACCUGGAAGACAGAGUAAUGGAAAAUUAGCUGAACAAGAGAGAGAAAAGAAUUAUGCAAAACAUGAAUAGACUCAGGGAACUCAGUGAUUCCAUCAAAAUAACAUUUGUACUAUAGGAGUCCUAAGGAAGAAAGAAAAGGGGGCAGAAAAUUGACUUGAAGAAAUAAUAGCUAAAAAAUACCCUAAUCUGGGAAGGAAACAUAUCCAGAUCCAGGAGGCAUGGAGAACCCCCAGCAGAAUCAACAAAAGCAGACCAACACCAAGACAUAUUGUAAUUAACUUUGCAAAAAAUAGUGAUAAAAAAUGUUAAAAGCAGCAAGACAAAAUAAAUCAGUAACUGACAAGGGAAAGCCCAUAAGGCUAGCAAGAGAUUUUUCAACAGGAAUUCUGCAAGCCAAAAGGGAAUACCAUGAUAUAUUCAAAGCGCUGAAUGAGAAAAAACCUGCAGCCAAGAUACUCUAUCCAGCAAGGUCAUUCGGAACAGAAGGAAAGCUAAAGAGUUUCCCAAACAAAAACUAAAGGAGUUCCUGACCACUAAACCAGCUCUGCAAGAAUUCGUAAAAGGGACUUUAAGUGGAAAGGAGAGACCAGGGGGAGGGUUAAGAUGGUGGAGAAGUAGGGCAACCCUAACUUGCCGCCUCCCUUGAACACAGCUAGAAAAAUAUCAAAUCAUUUUGGACACCCAGGAAAUUGAAAUGUAGACUGAGGGAACAAAGCUGCAUGUCGAUAAGCAGAAAAAAAGGGGCCACCUUGUGGGAGGUAGGAACUGCAGAGAGUUGGUUUGGGGUAGAAAAGAGCCACAGACAUUGCGGAGGGGAGGGAGGCCUGACUGCAGAAAGAGAAGCAAGAGAGAAAGAGUGAAAACAUGGGCAGGAGAUUACACAAGAAAAAAUUCUUCUCAAAACCAUUGACUGGGAAAAAGAGGAUUUAAAUACCACAAGUUUAAAAAUAAAAUAAAAAAUAGGGGUGCCUGGGUGGCCCAGUUGGUUGUCUGCCUUUGGAUCAGGUCAUGAUCCCAGGGUCCUGGGCCCGCUUUGUACUUCCAGAUCAGCAGGAAAUCUGUUUCUCCCUCUCCCUCUGCCUGGCACUCCUGCUUGUGUGCACGGUUUCUCUGUGUGUGUGUCAAAUAAACUUUAAAAAAA
rnacentral:lncRNA from 1 species